GGGCCGAUCGUCCAGCUCGGUAAGACGUCGCCCUCACGCGGCGAAGAUCGCCGGUUCAAAUCCGGCUCGGCCCA
rnacentral:tRNA from 2 species